rnacentral:rRNA from 1 species
UACGUAGGCAGCAAGCGUUGUUCGGAAUUACUGGGCGUAAAGGGUGCGCAGGCGGUCCUGUAAGUCUGGUGUGAAAUCUCCCGGCUCAACUGGGAGGGUGCGCCGGAAACUGCAGGGCUUCGAGUGCGGGAGAGGAGAGUGGAAUUCCUGGUGUAGCGGUGAAAUGCGUAGAGAUCAGGAGGAACACCGGUGGUGUAAACGGCUCUCUGGACCGUAACUGACGCUGAGGCACGAAAGCGUGGGUAGCAAACAGG